AAAUACCUGUGGUUGAACCACAAGAAGAUUUUCAAUCAGAAGUAUGCAAGGAUGAGGUACAUCUGCAACACACACCUCCUCUUCGAAGGUCAGAUAGAGUGCGUCAAGGACUUCUGAGAUGUGGUUUUGUCAUUGAGAAUGAUAAUUUGAUCAACAUUAUUCAGGAUGAUGAUCUGCUAACCUAUUCGGAAGCUAUCAUGAGUAGAGACUCAGAUAGAUGGCUAGAAG
rnacentral:lncRNA from 1 species